UCUAAAGUUAUAAAAACAUUCUGAAUUCACACACCAUUCCAACUCAUUAUAGAAACUUUGCAGAAUUUAUGACCACCCUUGAAAAAUAUCUGCUACCUAUUUUAUAAACACUACCCAAUCUAGAGCCCGUGGAUCCCCACGGGCAACACGCUAAUAAUACUACUACUACUACUACUACUAAUAAUAAUAAGUUAACAAUUUAAGUUCAAAACAAUUGCAGACUUUUAAAAAAGCAACUUAGAACAUCAACAAUUACACAUCACUAAAGAACAAUUGUGAUAAAAUAAAACCAUUUAGUAAUCGUAGUUGCUUGAGAAAAGUGUGUAAAAAGCAUUUUUACAUGGCUGCUUCAUGAAAAAUGUUGAAAGCUGCUGAUUUCUACAUUGAAAAUGGAGACUUUAUAACAUCUGGGCAAUAGAAUGAUCCAUGUUUGAGAAGAUUUUUGACUUUUGAAUAGCUGUGCCACACGAGAAAGCAAUGAUCCCUCAGAAAUGUUAUAAAUGAAUAAAAAUGUUGGAGACUGUUAUAUGUUGUGUGUUUAUACACUGAUCAGCCAUAACACUGUGACUGCCUGCAUAAUACUGUGUCAGUCUCCUUUGCCACAAAAAACAGGCCUGACCGCAUGGACACCACUACACCUCUGAAGGUGUACUGUGGUACCUGGCGCCUAGCUGUUAGCAGCAGAUCCUCCUAUUGGAUCAGACCACAGGGCCCAACCUUCUCUACCCAUGAACAUCAAUGAACCUUGAGAUCACCGGUUGUCCUUCCUUGGACCAUUUUUGGUAGGUAUUGGCCACUACGACUGGGAAAAACCCACAAAAAAAACUGCAGUUUUAGAGAUGUUCUGGCCCAGUUGUCCAGCCAUCACAAUUUGAUCCUUGAUAAAGUCACUCAAAUCUUUACGUGUCUGCAUUUUUUCAGAACAUCAUUUUGAAGGACAAAAUGUUAAGUCUGUGCCCAAUAUGUCCCACUCAUUAACAGGAACCACUAACAACAAUGUUCUGGCUGAUCAGUGUUUCUAUAAACAAUGGAAACAUUAAAAGCACAGAAAUCACAACUAUUUAAAAAAA